rnacentral:hammerhead_ribozyme from 1 species
AUCUAGUUGACGAGUUCCAAAUAGAACGAAACGUACGACCUUGAU